UAACAGAUAGCCAUGAGUGUCUUGAGCCAUGGAUUAGGAUUAAUCCAGUUUGGUGCAUCUGAGAGUUAUU
rnacentral:snoRNA from 1 species